rnacentral:rRNA from 1 species
GUAGAGGUGACAGACCUAACGAGCUUAGUGAUAGCUGGUUACUUAAGAAAAGGAUCUUAGUCCCCCCCAAAUUUUUUACAAUAUUUAUAAAUAAAAACUAAAAUUUGGAGUUAUUCAAAUAAGGUACAGCCUAUUUGAACCAGGAUACAACCUCCUCAAACGGGUAAUUAAAUCCAUAUACAGCAAAGUAGGCCUAAAAGCAGCCAUCUUCAAAAAGCGUCAAAGCUUAUCUUCAAAUUUUCAUAAUCCCCCUAAUUUUUAAAACCCCUUAAUCUUUAUUAAGUAACUCUAUAAAAUUAUAGUAUUUAUUAUGUUAAAACUAGUAACGAGAAUCAGAACUUCUCUUUAAUGUAAGUGUAAAUCAGAAUGGACAAACCACUGAUUUUUAACACUUGAAACCAAAGUAACAACCCACCAAGAAAAUCUUACCUCAAAUAGUGUUAACCUGACACAAGAACAUUCUCAGACAGAUUGAAAGGAAAAGAAGGAACUCGGCAAACAUUAACCCCGCCUGUUUACCAAAAACAUCGCCUCUUGAUAAACAUAUAAGAGGUCCAGCCUGCCCAGUGACUCUGUUCAACGGCCGCGGUAUCCUAACCGUGCGAAGGUAGCGUAAUCACUUGUUCUUUAAAUGAGGACUAGUAUGAAUGGCAUCACGAGGGUUAUACUGUCUCCUUUCCCCAAUCAGUGAAACUAAUCUCCUCGUGAAGAAGCGAGGAUAAAUAUAUAAGACGAGAAGACCCUAUGGAGCUUAAAACUUUCAGCAAUUAUCUUUUCUAUAACAACCUUAAGGUUAUUACAUCAACUCUAAUAAUAUGCCUGUCAGUUUUCGGUUGGGGUGACCGCGGAGUAAAACUCACCCUCCGCAAUGAAUAUUAACAAUUAAGCAAAAAACUACAAUUUUAUGCAUCAAAAAAUUGACAGUAUUGACCCAACACUUUGAUCAACGAACCAAGUUACCCUAGGGAUAACAGCGCAAUCCAUCUCAAGAGCUCAUAUCGACAGAUGGGUUUACGACCUCGAUGUUGGAUCAGG